AGUUUGAAAUCAUGGCUCAGGAUGAACGCUAGCUACAGGCUUAACACAUGCAAGUCGAGGGGAAACGAUAUUGGAAGCUUGCUUCCGAUAGGCGUCGACCGGCGCACGGGUGAGUAACGCGUAUCCAACCUGCCCACCACUUGGGGAUAACCUUGCGAAAGUAAGACUAAUACCCAAUGACGUCUCUAGAAGACAUCUGAAAGAGAUUAAAGAUUUAUCGGUGAUGGAUGGGGAUGCGUCUGAUUAGCUUGUUGGCGGGGUAACGCCACAAGGCUACGAUCAGUAGGGGUUCUGAGAGGAAGGUCCCCCACAUUGGAACUGAGACACGGUCCAAACUCCUACGGGAGGCA
rnacentral:rRNA from 1 species